UUCAAAGGCAAGUGGAUUUGAUCACAAUCUUCGACUGAUGCUGUCUCAGGGGCUGAUAUUAUUCAUUGGAGUUGGGGUCUCCAGGCCUUUAUUCCUACAUGAUGGAGCCAGAAAAGCCUGGGUUUGACGCUGAAAACGGGGCUGGGAACCAGAGGCUGCUUUUGAACCCAAGAGGUCUGGACCUUUCCUUGGAGGACCCUGAUAAAUUAUUACCGCAGAUGCAAUCAGCUUGAACAUAUCUGAAACCAAAUAGGCUAUGCUGUUUCUGACUUCCAAUGAAACUGCAUGUACGACUAAAGAGAUAUAUAUAUACCUGCUGCACAGCAACUCAAUAUGAGGCCUCUUAGAUGUUGAGGAGCUUUUGUAAUUUUUACUAGUACCCAUCCCAUUGCUGAGCCAAUAAUAAAUGUGUUCAGGAUAUUGAAUGGCAUGAACCAC